rnacentral:tRNA from 1 species
CGGGGCGUGGCGCAGUCCGGUUAGCGCGCCUGCUUUGGGAGCAGGAAGUCGCCGGUUCGAAUCCGGCCGCCCCGACCA